ACGGGAGGCAGCAGUGGGGAAUAUUGGACAAUGGGGGAAACCCUGAUCCAGCGACGCCGCGUGAGUGAAGAAGUAUUUCGGUAUGUAAAGCUCUAUCAGCAGGGAAGAUAAUGACGGUACCUGACUAAGAAGCCCCGGCUAACUACGUGCCAGCAGCCGCGGUAAUACGUAGGGGGCAAGCGUUAUCCGGAUUUACUGGGUGUAAAGGGAGCGUAGGUGGCCAUGCAAGUCAGAUGUGAAAACCCGGGGCUCAACCCCGUGACUGCAUUUGAAACUGCGUGGCUGGAGUACAGGAGAGGUAAGCGGAAUUCCUAGUGGAGCGGUGAAAUGCGUAGAUAUUAGGAGGAACACCAGUGGCGAAAGCGGCUUACUGGACUGAAACUGACACUGAGGCUCGAAAGCGUGGGGAGCAAACAGGAUUAGAUACCCUGGUA
rnacentral:rRNA from 1 species